rnacentral:rRNA from 1 species
UACAGAGGGGGCAAGCGUUAUUCGGAUUUACUGGGCGUAAAGGGCGCGUAGGCGGCGCGGUAAGUCACUUGUGAAAUCUCUGAGCUUAACUCAGAACGGCCAAGUGAUACUGCAGUGCUAGAGUGCAGAAGGGGCAAUCGGAAUUCUUGGUGUAGCGGUGAAAUGCGUAGAUAUCAAGAGGAACACCUGAGGUGAAGACGGGUUGCUGGGCUGACACUGACGCUGAGGCGCGAAAGCCAGGGGAGCAAACGGG